rnacentral:rRNA from 1 species
AUUGAACGCUGGCGGCAGGCCUAACACAUGCAAGUCGAGCGAGCGGCGGACGGGUGAGUAAUGUAUGGGAAUCUGCCCGAUAGAGGGGGAUAACUACUGGAAACGGUGGCUAAUACCGCAUACUAUCGGAUGUACCCAGAUGGGAUUAGCUAGUAGGUGGGGUAAAGGCUCACCUAGGCGACGAUUCCUAGCUGGUCUGAGAGGAUGACCCGCCCCACUGGUACGGAGACACGGUCCAGACUCCUACGGGAGGCAGCAGGGGGGAAUAUUGCACAAUUGGCGCAAGCCUGAUGCAGCCAUGCCGCAUGUAUGAAGAAGGCCUUCGGGUUGUAAAGUACUUUCAGCCGGGAGGCGUUACCCGCAGAAGAAGCACCGGCUAACUCCGUGCCAGCAGCCGCGGUAAUUC